CCUACGGGAGGCAGCAGUGAGGACUAUUGGUCACUGGGCGGAAGCCUGAACCAGCCAAGUCGCGUGAGGGAUUAAGGCCCUGCGGGUCGUAAACCUCUUUUGCCGGGGAGCAGAGGUCCGGACGUGUCCGGGCCGGGAGAGUACCCGGAGAAAAAGCAUCGGCUCACUCCGUGCCAGCAGCCGCGGUAAUACGGAGGAUGCGAGCGUUAUCCGGAUUUAUUGGGUUUAAAGGGUGCGUAGGCGGGCAUUUAAGCCGGCGGUCAAAUGUCGGGGCUCAACCCCGGCCUGCCGUCGGAACUGGGUGCCUUGAGUGGGCGAGAAGUAUGCGGAAUGCGUGGUGUAGCGGUGAAAUGCAUAGAUAUCACGCAGAACCCCGAUUGCGAAGGCAGCAUACCGGCGCCCUACUGACGCUGAGGCACGAAAGUGCGGGUAUCGAACAGGAUUAGAUACCCCAGUAGUC
rnacentral:rRNA from 1 species